UUUAAACGGGGUAAGUAUUGG
rnacentral:piRNA from 1 species